rnacentral:rRNA from 1 species
UACGUAGGGGGCAAGCGUUGUCCGGAUUUACUGGGCGUAAAGAGCGCGCAGGCGGUCGAGCAAGUCGCGUGUGAAAGCCCCCGGCUCAACUGGGGAGGGUCACGCGAUACUGUUCGACUCGAAGGCAGGAGAGGGAAGCGGAAUUCCCGGUGUAGUGGUGAAAUGCGUAGAUAUCAAGAGGAACACCUGAGGUGAAGACGGGUUGCUGGGCCGACACUGACGCUGAGUGCGCGAAAGCCAGGGGAGCAAACGGG